GAACUAGAAACUUUCAUUAAACCCACUCUUGACUUUUUCAAUCUUUUCAGUUAUUGCGUUUGGUAGGCUUAGUCCGGUCUUGUAAUAGUUAAACAGCAGCCCCCGUGAUCUCUCCAGCUCUGAUCCAAGCGAUUGGUAGGUCCACUUUGUUAGCCUGGGUGCAUUAAAGCCAGUCUGGGAUUAAAGCGGGAAGGUUCAGAUAGCAUCUGUCGAGCUCCGUGGCGUUCUACGAGGGAUAACGAAAUGUAGCAGAAUUAACUCUUUCCUGCUCUUCGUUCUGUUUUAAAUGUCCAGGGACAGGAUUUGUGAUGUCAGGUUUAUUCCUAUGUUUACACUGUCUGCCAGAUGUUUAUGGCAGAGUUUAGAUAAAUUCGAGGUAUGGUCUGCAAGCUGGUGGUAUGGCCACUAUAUACCAACCAUUCCAUGUAGUGUCUCACGGACACCCUUUAUGUAACAUACAGAGAGGAGUCCAGUUAGAGCAGGGGAGGGAGAGAGAAGGUGGAAUCAUAUUUUGCUGAACAUACAUCUGUAUAUUUAACCUCAACUGGACUGGAUCUGAAAAGGUUUCCCCAAGCGAGGAGGACAGGAGCUGAGG